UGGUGGAGUGAUUUGUCUGGUUAAUUCCGAUAACGAACGAGACCUCAGCCUGCUAAAUAGUUACGCGAUUUCUUUCAUGGAAUCGUGGUCAUACUUCUUAGAGGGACUAUCGGUGACUAACCGAUGGAAGUUUGAGGCAAUAACA
rnacentral:rRNA from 1 species